UUAAUACUCCCUCCGUCCGAAAAUACUUGUCCUAGAAAUGGAUAUAAUGGAUGUAUCUAUAACUAAAAUAAGUCUAGAUACAUCCAUCUCUAGGACAAGUAUUUCCGGACGGAGGGAGUAGUAG
rfam:Triticum aestivum genome assembly, contig: Triticum_aestivum_CS42_TGACv1_scaffold_322514_4BL